rnacentral:lncRNA from 1 species
UAUGAAAGGGUGUGUUUUGUGGGUUAUGAGGAAAAUUACAUUUCUUACCUGGGAUGAAAUUGUAAAAACUGAAAGCUACUGACCAGGAGAAAUGUGCACCUGUGUACAAAAGAAAGGCCCAAGAGCAUUCCCAGCAGCACAGUCCUCAGGGCCCCAGCCUGGCUGAACUCUCGUCCACAGGAAGAUGAAGACAUUUCCCAUGCUCCCCUCAGACGG